GUCCUAGCCUAACGAUGAAUGCUUGGUGUGGCGGUAUCGAUCCCUGCCGUGCCGAAGCUAACGCAUUAAGCAUUCCGCCUGGGAGUACGGUCGCAAGGCUGAAACUCAAGGAAUUGACGGGCCCGCACAAGCGGUGGAGCAUGUGGUUCAAUUCGACGCAACGCGAAGAACCUUACCUGGGCUCGAAGUGCAGAUGACAUCCGGUGAAAGCCGGCUUCCGCAAGGACAUCUGUAUAGGUGCUGCAUGGCUGUCGU
rnacentral:rRNA from 1 species